AUGCACCCAGGGCCGGCCCUAAGCCAUGGCGAGGAGUGCAGCCACCUAGGGCCCAGCAUGUCCAGGGGCCCACCCUCUCUGUGCACAUGUAUUGAUACAUUUGAAGGGAAAAAACUGAGGAAGCGCCGCCGGUUCAUUCUUCUUCCCGUCCAAUCUUCUUCCUCUCCCAAUUAAUUGCACCAAGUCCCCAGGGGGCCGGGACCCAAGCGACGCUCAUGAAUGGAUUUUUAGCUGUAUCAUCUCCUUAAUUUCUUUGCCAGUGAGUUUUGUGCUACUAGUAGAUAGGUUCUUUCGUAAGUACCCAAGGCGACAAGGCCCUGGUGGUGACCUCCUUGGCACCGGCGACGAGCUGAAGAUGAACCACAUUUGGCUUGCCGCUAAGGCGUUGACACCAGCACCGGUCCAUAGCUAAAUUGUUCAUCCUAUGGAUUGUCUGCCUUUUCUUGCUUAUUGCGAAUUAUACGACGAUUCUCUUGCAUAAAAUUCUCACACAAGUAAUUGUUUCAUGUUAAA